GGAAUAUUGGGCAAUGCCCGCAAGGGUGACCCAGCAACGCCGCGUGGAGGAUGAAUGUCGUAAGAUUGUAAACUCCUGUUAGAGGGGAAGAAUAGUACCGGUUGGACCGGUAUAUGACUGUACCCUCAGAGAAAGCCCCGGCUAACUACGUGCCAGCAGCCGCGGUAAUACGUAGGGGGCAAGCGUUGUCCGGAUUUACUGGGUGUAAAGGGCGCGCAGGCGGGAUAAAAAGUCAGUGGUGAAAUCCUACAGCUUAACUGUAGAACUGCCUUUGAUACUUUUAUUCUUGAGUUCGGGAGAGAGAGACGGAAUUCCAGGUGUAGUGGUGAAAUACGUAGAUAUCUGGAAGAACACCAGUUGCGAAGGCGGUCUCUUGGUCCGACACUGACGCUGAGGCGCGAAAGCGUGGGGAGCAAACA
rnacentral:rRNA from 1 species